GAUGAAGAACGUAGCGAACUGCGAUAAGUAAUGUGAAUUGCAGAAUUCAGUGAAUCAUCGAGUCUUUGAACGCACAUUGCACCCCCUGGCAUUCCGGGGGGCAUGCCUGUCCGAGCGUCAUUGCUGCCCUUCAAGCCCGGCUUGUGUGUUGGGUCGUCGUCCCCCCCGGGGGACGGGCCCGAAAGGCAGCGGCGGCACCGCGUCCGGUCCUCGAGCGUAUGGGGCUUUGUCACCCGCUCGAUUAGGGCCAGCCGGGCGCCAGCCGGCGUCUCCAACCUUCUAUUUUACCAGGUUGACCUCGGAUCAGGUAGGGAUACCCGCUGAACUUAAGCAUAUCAAUAAGCGGAGGA
rnacentral:misc_RNA from 1 species